rnacentral:rRNA from 1 species
AGAGUUUGCUUCUGGCUCAGGAUGAACGCUGGCGGCAUGCCUAAUACAUGCAAGUCGAACGAGAGGAAGGAAAGCUUGCUUUUCUGAAUCUAGUGGCGAACGGGUGAGUAACACGUAGGUAACCUGCCCAUGUGUCCGGGAUAACUUCUGGAAACGGAUGCUAAAACCGGAUAGGUAGCAGACAAGCAUUUGACUGCUAUUAAAGUGGCUUUGGCCAUGAACAUGGAUGGACCUGCGGUGCAUUAGCUGGUUGGUGAGGUAACGGCCCACCAAGGCGACGAUGCAUAGCCGGCCUGAGAGGGCGGACGGCCACAUUGGGACUGAGACACGGCCCAAACUCCUACGGGAGGCAGCAGUAGGGAAUUUUCGUCAAUGGGGGGAACCCUGAACGAGCAAUGCCGCGUGAGUGAGGAAGGUCUUCGGACCGUAAAGCUCUGUUAUAAGAGAAAAACGGCACUCAUAGGGAAUGAUGAGUGAGUGAUGGUAUCUUACCAGAAAGUCACGGCUAACUACGUGCCAGCAGCCGCGGUAAUACGUAGGUGGCGAGCGUUAUCCGGAAUGAUUGGGCGUAAAGGGUGCGUAGGUGGCAGAUCAAGUCUGGAGUAAAAGGUAUGGGCUCAACCCGUACUGGCUCUGGAAACUGAUCAGCUAGAGAACAGAAGAGGACGGCGGAACUCCAUGUGUAGCGGUAAAAUGCGUAGAUAUAUGGAAGAACACCGGUGGCGAAGGCGGCCGUCUGGUCUGGAUUCUGACACUGAAGCACGAAAGCGUGGGGAGCAAAUAGGAUUAGAUACCCUAGUAGUCCACGCCGUAAAC